AGAACUUUGCUUCAAUGCAUAGAAAGUUUCACGGUUGAAUGUUUGUUUUAUACAUUGGCUGAAUAGUUUUUAAGGAACCUUUGAUGCUCACGGAGCACCGUAUCUGUUGUAAAACAGCGGGUAUCACUCACAUCUCAAAAUUCUAAACUAGCAAAUUCCUGCUUUUUUAGGAUUAUUGUGGGAUAUUUUUUGACUGACCAAAUAUCUAUAUUUGUCAAAAUAAGAUAUUUUGGCAAGUUUUCAAAAGUAUAGCAUAAUUGAAUCAAGUAGGAAAAGACGUAUUGCAAAACAACACCGCUAUUACCCCUUAUAUGAUUCCACAUCCUAUAUUGCCUUAGUCGGACGCCUUAAUGAGAAAUAAAUUAUGCGUUUAAAAAUAGAGAAUUGCGUGUGUGACCUCAAAGGGUCAAACCCUUCGGAGAGGAGGAGAGGGAGACAGAGAGCUUCAAACAUAACAAAUGAAGAGCUACAACACUAAGUGAGCUUGAGAGAUUUACCAUCAAAUCUGCCAAUAAACGGAACACGCCUCGGACGAGGAUUUGAAGAGGGGCGUUGAUUGUGCUUGCAUGCGUGUGCGCGUUCAACUGUGCCGCUAUGCCCGCGUGUCAUCUCUCUCUACUCUUAGUGUUCCUACACCAGACAGAUGCAGCCAAGUGAUGCAGUCCUCCAGUUUGUAUUGAGCUUGCCUGAGGGGAUUUUACCGAUAAGGCAGACCAACCACCAAGGAUGUCAUUCGAAGAUCUAGAACAGAUAUGUAAGCUAGGGUAACAUAAUAAAAUUGUCUUAAGAACACAGUGCAAUGCUCACAGAGGUUUGCUUGAUUCAACCAACUACAUCAAAUAAGCUGGCACAUGUUGGAAGCCUAGGUCUCAAAUAAUUUAGUUAAUUAUUCUUAUUUUGUAAUUUAUUCAAGAAAAUGUAUUUUUUUCCCUUCAGAUGUUCCAUUGUAUUAAUGUGACUACAUACCCAUAUAUGUAUGCUAUGGGAAGGGGGGAGGGGGUGAGCUUAAUUACACUUUACUUUCUAAACCCUUUAAAAGACCUUCAAU